GACUGACUAACUGAUUAGUUGUCGUUGGCUAUUUGCCGUUUGCUGUUUGGCUAUAAGCGAAGCUGCCCCUGCCCCACUGCUGGUUGAUGCUGGGCAGCAACGAUGAGCACGGAAAAUGAUGAUGGCGAUGACGAGGUACCCACGACGAAAUGGACGAAAUGGGCCAAGUGACCAAAUACAAUUUCCGGGUGAAGGCAAACAGCUGAGUCUGCUUAAUGUACACAGAACUUCAGCGUGGCGAACUUCAACAAAACGAUUUUAGCAGCUUGA